GUAUGGAAACCUACUAAGUGAUAACUUCAAAUUCAGGGAAACCCGGAAUUAAAAAAAAAUGGGCAAUCCUGAGCCAAAUCCUGUUUUAGCAAAGAAAGGUUCAGAAAACGAAAAAAAAAAGGAUAGGUCCAGAGACUCAAUGGAAGCUGUUCUAACAAAUGGGGCCAGGAAUCGUUCCACCAAAACGUCAGAAAGGAUCUCAAAACCUAUCUAUUGAAUACUAUAUUCAAUAUAUAUUAUAUAUGGUGUUCUGAAACUCUAGAUCUAUUUUGUUAUAUGAAAAAUAGAAGAAUGGUGUGAAUUCAUUCGACAUUGAAGAAAAAACCAAAUUUUGAUUCAUCAAAUCAUUCACUCCAUAGUCUGAUUCUGAUAAACCUUUUAAAGCAACGAUCAAUCGGACAAGAUUAAAGAUAGAGUCCCUUUCUACAUGUCAAUACCGGCAACAAUGAAUUUCUAGUGAGAGGAAAUCCGUUGAUCUCAAAAUUGUGAGGGUUCAGUCCCAUCCCCAAAACAAACUAUUAACUCCAAAAGAUUAUCCUACUCUCUCCUUUUCGGUUACAAAUUGCUUUCUUUUUCUGAUUCUUUUACAAACGAAACGUAGUUGGCGUAAAUAACUUUCUCUUCUACCAUGUGAUAUAGAAUACACAUCCAAAUUUAGCAAAGAAUCCCGAUUUAAAUGAUUCACAAUCAAUAAUAUGAAACUUCGAAAGAGAAAGUGGUGAUCAAAGAAAUUUAAGUACUUGGCGAAAAAUUGCAAAUCCCACCUUUCCCUUUAAUUGACAUAGACCACAGUCAUCGACUAAAAUAAAAAAAAAAAAAAAAGGGAUUAUGGUUACUACGCAGGAAUGCCGGGAUAGUCAGCU
rnacentral:misc_RNA from 1 species